rnacentral:rRNA from 1 species
CCUACGGGUGGCAGCAGUGAGGAAUAUUGGUCAAUGGACGCAAGCCUGAACCAGCCACGCCGCGUGAAGGAAGACGGCUCUACGUGUCGUAAACUGCUUUUGUACGGGGGCAAACGCGGAUACUCGUCCCCGUCUGAGAGUAUCGUAAGAAAAAGCAUCGGCUAACUCCGUGCCAGCAGCCGCGGUAAUACGGAGGAUUAAAGCGUUAUCCGGAUUUAUUGGGUUUAAAGGGUGCGUAGGCGGUCGGGUAAGUUAGAAGUGAAAUCCCGGGGCUCAACCUCGGAAUUGCCUUGGAUACUGUGCGGCUAGAGUGUAGUAGAGGUAGGCGGAAUGCAUGGUGUAGCGGUGAAAUGCUUAGAGAUCAUGCAGAACACCGAUGGCGAAGGCAGCUUACCGGGCUAAAACUGACGUUGAGGCACGAAAGCGUGGGGAGCAAACAGGAUUAGAUACCCCAGUAGUC